CCUACGGGAGGCAGCAGUGAGGAAUAUUGGACAAUGGGUGGAAGCCUGAUCCAGCCAUCCCGCGUGAAGGACGACGGCCCUAUGGGUUGUAAACUUCUUUUGUACAGGGAUAAACCUCCCCUCGUGAGGAGAGCUGAAGGUACCGUACGAAUAAGCACCGGCUAACUCUGUGCCAGCAGCCGCGGUAAU
rnacentral:rRNA from 1 species